rnacentral:tRNA from 1 species
UGCCAGAUCGUCUAAUGGUAGGACAACGGCCUCUGGAGCCGUUUAUCUUGGUUCGAAUCCAAGUCUGGCAG